CUCUUUCUGAUUGAGUGUAAGCUGCUAUAUGAAGGGAUCCACAAGACGAAUAAUUAAGGGGGACCUCUGAUCAACAGCCAGCAAGGAACUGAAUCCCUCAGACCCACAACUCACAAGAAACUGAAGCUGAAGCAGAUUCUUCCUCAGUCAAGCUUCAGCUCAUCUCACACCUGGAAGUCUACAUGAAUGAACUUUCCACCCCACUAAUAACCUGAUGAAACAAGUGCAGGUCAAAGGAGACCCGUUAGCUGAGUUCCACAGCCCAGUCAACAGGAGCUCAACAGUAAGAAUGAGCAAAGCGUGCAAGUUCUUCAGGGAAGUUUACCCAAACCUGCUGGGCAGCUCAAUUAUCCCUAUCUCAUAUCCACUGGGAAUUCCAAGGAGCUGGUCCUCAAAACAUGCCAGGAGGUACACUAAGGACCUGCUUUGCAGAAAGGAUCUCAUUGAGAAUAGCAAAAGGAAGUUGGGAACCAUUACAGUGCCCAGCUGUAUUGGUAGAGGAGACCAACCACACCCUCCACAGCACAGCACCUGGAGAGGAACUGCUGCCAUGACCAUAGAGGACACCCUCUGGAUACAAUGCCAGACUUGAUGUGGGACUGACCAACCUAUGGACCCCAGGCACCACCACCCAGACCUGCUCAGCACCUGAAACAUUCACAGCCGUGGAGAGAGAACUGUUCACUGCUACCAUCCACACUUCUGGGCCCCUUCAGCAGCAGGGUGACAAGGAAGAGGGAAAUCGACUUGGAAAAGAGGGGACCUCUGACCCAAGAGUUCGGUCAAUGCAUAUGUUGGCAGCCAGCUGCACAUCGCACCAAAUAUGAACUUCAAAUAGAAGAAAGCCUCAUUUGGAAGAAAGCUCAUGCACAGACUGUAAAUAUUUCAGAGCAGAUUGUGUCUCUGUAGAUUAAGUAAGUUGUGAAAGUCUGAACCUCUGCCAAAAUUUUAAGACCUUGACCUUUACAUCUCUGAGUUUCUAUCUGUCAUUUUUCCUUUCUAUCUGUCAUUUUACCUUUCAUACUUAUAAAAUGGAAUUCAUAAUC
ensembl:lncRNA MIR3976HG MIR3976 host gene